AGAGUUUGAUCCUGGCUCAGAACGAACGCUGGCGGCGUGGAUUAGGCAUGCAAGUCGAACGAGGAUAUAUCCUUCGGGAUAUAAGCCGAGUGGCACAAGGGUGAGCAAUGCAUAGAUUACCUACCUUUAGGAUAAGGACAACUUUGUGAAAACGGAGCUAAUACUUAAUAAUACAAAAGAAAAUAAUUUUCUUUUGUCAAAGGGAGGGUAGCAAUACCUUUCGCCUAGAGAGGGGUUUAUGUCCUAUCAGCUUGUUGGUGGGGUAAUAGCCUACCAAGGCAAAGACGGGUAGCCGGUUUAAGAGGAUGGUCGGCCACACUGGGACUGAGACACUGCCCAGACUUCUACGGAAGGCUGCAGUCGAGAAUCUUUCGCAAUGCCCGAAAGGGUGACGAAGCGACGCCGCGUGGGUGAAGAAGGCCUUCGGGUUGUAAAACCCUGUCAGGAGUUAUGAAAUGUAAGUACGCUAAUAUCGUGCUUAUUUGACAAAGGCUCCAAAGGAAGCCACGGCUAACUCUGUGCCAGCAGCCGCGGUAAUACAGAGGUGGCGAGCGUUGUUCGGAAUUAUUGGGCGUAAAGAGCACGUAGGUGGGUUUGCAAGUCAGAUGUGAAAGCCUUCUGUUCAACGGGAGAAUUGCAUCUGAAACUGCUAAUCUUGAGUAUAGGAGGGGAGAAUGGAACUUCUGGUGGAGCGGUGAAAUGCGUAGAUAUCAGAAGGAACGCCGGCGGCGAAAGCGAUUCUCUGGCCUAUUACUGACACUCAGUGUGCGAAAGCUAGGGGAGCAAACGGGAUUAGAUACCCCGGUAGUCCUAGCCGUAAACGAUGGGCACUAAGUAGAGGGAAUUACCUAUGUUCUCUCUGCCGUAGCUAACGCAUUAAGUGCCCCGCCUGGGGAGUACGGCCGCAAGGCUAAAACUCAAAAGAAUUGACGGGGGCUCGCACAAGCGGUGGAGCAUGUGGCUUAAUUCGAUGCAACGCGAAAAACCUUACCGGGGCCUGACAUGAUAGAAGUAGGAACCUGAAAGGGGGACGAACGGUAUCCAGUCCGUAGCUAUUACAGGUGUUGCAUGGCUGUCGUCAGCUCGUGUCGUGAGACGUUGGGUUAAGUCCCCUAACGAGCGAAACCCUUGUUUUUAGUUACCAGCGGGUUAUGCCGGGUACUCUAGAAAGACUGCCGUCGUCAAGACGGAGGAAGGUGGGGAUGACGUCAAGUCAUCAUGGCCCUUAUGCCCCGGGCUGCACACGUGCUACAAUGGUCGGUACAAACGGAAGCGAAGCCGAGAGGUGUAGCGAAUCCUAAAAAGCCGAUCUCAGUUCGGAUUGGAGGCUGAAAUUCGCCUCCAUGAAGUUGGAAUCGCUAGUAAUCGCGGAUCAGCAAUGUCGCGGUGAAUAUGUUCCCGAGCCUUGUACACACCGCCCGUCAAGCCACCCAAGCAGGAUGCACCCGAAAACAUUAUAUCUAACCAGGGCAACUUGGAGGAAAAUGUUGAAGGAGUGUUUUGUGAGGAGGACUAAGUCGUAACAAGGUAA
rnacentral:rRNA from 1 species